GCUUAAUGAUGGUUUUUAACUCUUUAGGUUUAAAUGGAGUGAGGAAAUGGAGAUUGUUCAAUCGAGUUUUGCCGAUGAAAAAUGGUAUGCAACUGAGAAGACGGUCACGAAUGGAUGGACAAAAUAUGAAGUAAACAUCAAAUGUCUGACUGUCAGGUAUGAUAGUUCAACAUCUUCAUUGAAGGGAAACCCAUGGUAAAUCAAUCUUACAUUUAUGGUACAUGCAUCCGUGGUAUAUAUGCUAUUUCCAAGACAUUGAUGAGGAAGUGCAUGGAGUUUUGGUAAUGAAAAGUCGCACAACUCCACAACCAAAAUCUAGCUUCAUCCAUCGGAACUUGGAAGGGACGUAUCUGACGUGACCAUAGACAUUAAUAGUUUUUAGAAAUUCUUACAAAGUACAUAAAAUGUAUCUAUCUUACUCUUUUGGAGGAGGGUCUGUGUUGUCUUCUCCUUCCUCGCCAACAAGCGCAUCAUCAUCCUCCUCUCCAUCCUCAUAGCCCUCCUCAACCGCACCAAGCAGUGCGUUGUGGCGUGUAUUGUCAAUUUUCCGUUGCCUCUCGCUCUCUUCUUUCAUUCUCUUCCUCUCUGCCUUCUUAAUUCAUUCUGCUUCCUUGACUCGUUUCACGAGAUGCGCUAUCAAUAUGGAUGGUGUGAGGUGGGGGCUGUUCGGACUGUGGAAAGUAGGUUUCACAGGUGUGAGUGAGGUUAAUGGGCUGUUGAGUGUGGGGGACGUGACUUGUGCUGUGAAAGAGGGGAGGAGUAAGAGGUGACUGGUAUCAUAGAAGAAGGAGUAAGUGGGGUGGUCCUCUGGUGAUGGAAGAGGGGAGGAGGAAGUGGGGCGGUGGGUGGUGAUGGAAGAGGGGAGGAGGAAGUGGAGUGGCGGGAGGUGAUUGGUGUGAUUGAAGAGGGGAGGAGGAGGAAGUGGGGUGGCCGGAAGUGACUGGUGUGAUUGAAGAGGGGAAGACGAAGUGGGGCGGCUCUUUGGUGAUGGAAGACGGGAGGAUGAUGUGGGGCGGCGGGUGUAAUGGAGAAGGG
rnacentral:lncRNA from 1 species